CCCGAGCUGUGCCGUCCCAAGCUGUGCCUUGCCAAGCCAAGUCUUGCCAAUCCGUGCCAUGCCGAGCCGUGCCGAGCCCGGCGGGGCAAUGGGGGGCCACAUCAGCAGCACUCCGGGCCCACUCCAACAGGUGCCUACAAGAGGCCAUCCCUGCUGAGCAUGUUCCAUCUCUUCUCCAACUGCUGGUCGUGGCUGCAGGCUAUACAGGAGCCCAUCAGGAAGGUGACCCUCCUCGUUGUGGGGCUGGAUAACGCGGGGAAAACCUCUGUUAUCAUGGACAUAGAGAGAGGUGAGGAGCAGCACAGCUCCGGAGCUGGU